GGCUAAAGCAGCGUUCAGCAAUCUUUACUACAGUCCCUCUUUAAAUGUUUCCUGAGAGAAAAAUCAGAUUCUGACCCUCUAUCAGCCAGCUGCUUUUCUGGAGGUUGUGCUUGGAGGAAAAUGGAAAGUUGGCCUUCUGAUUGCUUUUCUUCCUUUUAAUCUUUUUGGAGGUGGCGGCACCGCUGGUGAUGCUGCUGCUAACUGCUGGCUCUGCUCUCAGGAAUCACUCCUGGCCGGGCUCGGCGGCCGUAUAGGGUGCCAGGAAUGGAAGCCGGGUCAGCCGUGUGCAAGAUUGCACCCGGUGAUGCUCAGAGGUUACUUCUGGUGGUGCUUGGGGGACCAUAUGAGAUGCUGGAGAUUGAACCCGGCUAGACCGCAUGCAGGGCAAACGCCCUACCCA